UAUUUCACGACACCAGGGUU
rnacentral:miRNA from 1 species